ensembl:snRNA Gm26441 predicted gene, 26441
GUGCUUGCUUCGGCAGCACAUAUACUAAAAUUGGAACAAUACAGAGAUUAGCAUGGCCCCUAUGCAAGGAUGACAUGCAAAUCUGUGAAGCAUUCCAGGUCCUU